rnacentral:rRNA from 1 species
GAUGAACGCUGGCGGCGUGCCUAAUACAUGCAAGUCGAGCGAACAGACGAGGAGCUUGCUCCUCUGACGUUAGCGGCGGACGGGUGAGUAACACGUGGAUAACCUACCUAUAAGACUGGGAUAACUUCGGGAAACCGGAGCUAAUACCGGAUAAUAUAUUGAACCGCAUGGUUCAAUAGUGAAAGACGGUUUUGCUGUCACUUAUAGAUGGAUCCGCGCCGCAUUAGCUAGUUGGUAAGGUAACGGCUUACCAAGGCAACGAUGCGUAGCCGACCUGAGAGGGUGAUCGGCCACCCUGGAACUGAGACACGGCCCAGACUCCUACGGGAGGAAGCAGUAGGGAAUCUUCCGCAAUGGGCGAAAGCCUGACGGAGCAACGCGGCGUGAGUGAUGAAGGUCUUCGGAUCGUAAAACUCUGUUAUUAGGGAAGAACAAAUGUGUAAGUAACUGUGAACAUCUUGACGGUACCUAAUCAGAAAGCCACGGCUAACUACGUG